rfam:Thalassolituus sp. HI0120 HI0120_c44, whole genome shotgun sequence.
GUCCCCAUCGUCUAGAGGCCUAGGACACCGCCCUUUCACGGCGGUAACAGGGGUUCGAAUCCCCUUGGGGAUG